ACAGUCGAUUCCGGUUAAUUGGACCACCUGUUAAUCGGACCAGCCGCUUAUUCGGACCGAAUCCUAAAGAACCGAAACAGAUCAUAUUAAAUAAGCCUAAUAUUGUUCGCUUAUUUGGACCAAAAUUCUUGUUAAUCGGACCAAAGAACGUGACAGAGAAUAAGAAAAAGAAGCCACAAGUCACCCGCGGAAAGCGGAUGUAAAGCGGGUCAGCGACAUCGGGAGGAUCCCUGGGCUCCCCAAGAGAAUUUAUGCUUUUAUCAAAGGUCAGGAAGUCAGAAAAUUUGUACCAAAUGCAAACCAGUGGGGGUGAACAUGCCUGCCCUUUCUUUCCUAAAACGGACUGCCCAGUAGCCGGCGACAUGAAGUCGAGCGUAAACAAGAGAGUUGCGUCAACAGAAUGCGUCAGAUCACACUAGACAAGUUCUUCAAACGUUGACUGGAAUUUGGUAAUGUAACCUUUUUUAUUGUGCUUUGCAUGCUGAGUGUUGUGUAGAUCGUUUCGAAGAAUUUGUAGAUUUCUUUUUCAAUAAACAAAGUUGUAAGCAUCCGUAUAUGUACACGUAAAUAGUUCUUGUUUGUACGUUCGCCAUAUGUGUGUGCAGCACAAUAAAAGUCAUAAUGACAUUUUAAUAUGUUACUUAUAGCACAUCCCGUCUUGGUUGCACAUGUAUAGGGCAUGUUCCUGUAAUCGGACCAGCCGGUUAUUAGGACCAAAAUGAUCACGUCCCGAU